AUGAGGUUCUGUUUUAGGAAAACCCAGCUUUUCUCAACUCUUGUCGUUCUGCUCAUUUUGUUUUCUUGUCUACAACUUGGAGAAAUGAGGCAUUUGAAAGCAGAGCAAUGGGCUAAGAACCAUGGUCUUGUUCUUGUGUCUCAGUACCUCGCAAGGGGUCAAGCGCCCCCAUCUGGCCCCAAUCCCUGCACCCACAUUCCAGGCCGCGGCUCGGGUAUUUGCACCUGA
rnacentral:lncRNA from 1 species